GAUGAACGCUAGCUACAGGCUUAACACAUGCAAGUCGCGGGGCAGCAUGGGGGUUGCUUGCAACCCCUGAUGGCGACCGGCGCACGGGUGAGUAACGCGUAUCCAACCUGCCCUUCACCACGGGAUAACCCGGCGAAAGUCGGACUAAUACCGUAUUUUUUCCAUUGACGGCAUCCGAUUUGGACGAAGGGCUUGGCGGUGAAAGGAUGGGGAUGCGUCCGAUUAGCUUGACGGCGGGGUAACGGCCCACCGUGGCUACGAUCGGUAGGGGUUCUGAGAGGAAGGUCCCCCAGACUGGAACUGAGACACGGUCCAGACUCCUACGGGAGGCAGCAGUGAGGAAUAUUGAUCAAUGGGCGUAAGCCUGAACCAGCCAAGUAGCGUGCAGGAUGACGGCCCUAUGGGUUGUAAACUGCUUUUAUGCGGGGAUAAAGUGGCCAACGUGUGGGCUUUUGCAGGUACCGAAUGAAUAAGGACCGGCUAAUUCCGUG
rnacentral:rRNA from 1 species